rnacentral:sRNA from 1 species
CUGGUAUGGGGCCAUUUGGCCCUUGAUAUUCAUGGAUGCUGACAUGUAACCUUGGGUGGGGUGCUAGCCUUUGCAUUAACAAGCGGCAGGCUUGAAAGAGUGAGAUCGUUGGCCAAAUCAUUGAGCAAACAAUAUUGUCGGUAGUCCGACGGACUCCACACCCCACUCGAAGCUGAAUCCUAUUUCCCAGGACUUGAAGUGCGGAACGAACCGGAUGCGCAGCUUCAGUGUCAUUGGGAUAUGUGUGGCUUGUUUCAGGGAAGAGGCUAGAGGCUGGGAUGCAUGGUGGGGUGGCUACCCUACCACGUACCUGUAUCUGAUUUGAGCGUGGGAG